rnacentral:rRNA from 1 species
AAACCGUUCAGGGGUAAACCUGAGAAACCCAAAAGAUCGAAUGGGGAGAUUCAUCGUCGACGGCGCUGGCUACCGUUGGUGCGCGAUGCUCCGGGUGGGCCCCUGUGGUUCCAUUAGCGCGGGCACGCCAUCUUCGGAUCGAACGUUCCGGCGUCGUAGUCGUGCACUUCUCCCCUAGUAGGACGUCGCGACCCGUUGUGUGUCGGUCUACGGCCCGGGUGGGCGCCUGUCGCGUCGUUUCGGCGCACGCGGCAGACCCUCGGACGCCCGGCCGGCUGCACGACGGUACACUCACGGUAUCGGGCCGCAACCAAUCCAUUCUCGAAUGUAUUUGCGUCCGUCCCGCCGCAAGCUCGGUCAGUUCUCACCCGGAGGUACGGACCCGGUGCCGUCCCCGGGCCUGGCCAGCUGCUAGCAGGCGACGAACUAGGACUGGCCAAACCCAAGAUUACCGGUCGGCGACGCUAUUGCUUUGGGUACUUUCAGGACCCGUCUUGAAACACGGACCAAGGAGUCUAACAUGUGCGCGAGUCAUUGGGACGCAUAAACCUAAAGGCGAAAUGAAAGUGAAAGUCGGCCUUCGCGUCGAUCGAGGGAGGAUGGGCCGCGUAACCUAUGCAGCCUCGCACUCCCGGGGCGUCUCGUUCUCAUUGCGAGAGGAGGCGCACCUAGAGCGUACACGUUGGGACCCGAAAGAUGGUGAACUAUGCCUGGUCAGGACGAAGUCAGGGGAAACCCUGAUGGAGGUCCGUAGCGAUUCUGACGUGCAAAUCGAUCGUCGGAACUGGGUAUAGGGGCGAAAGACUAAUCGAA